AAUGAACGCUGGCGGCAGGCCUAACACAUGCAAGUCGAGCGAGCGGCGGACGGGUGAGUAAUGUAUGGGGACUGCCCUAUGGAUGGGGAUAACUACUGGAAACGGUGGCUAAUACCGCAUACUAGCGGCUAACCAAUAUGGGAUUAGCUAGUAGGUGGGUUAAAGGCUCACCUAGGCGACGAUCAAUAGCUGGUCUGCGAGGAUGAUCAGCCACACUGGAACGGAGACACGGUCCAGACUCGUACGGAGGCAGCAGUGGGGAAUAUUGCACAAUGGGCGCAAGCCUGAUGCAGCCACGCCGCGUGUAUGAAGAAGGCCUUAGGGUUGUAAAGUACUUUCAGCGGGGAGGCGUUACCCGCAGAAGAAGCACCGGCUAACUCCGUGCCAGCAGCCGCGGUAAUUC
rnacentral:rRNA from 1 species